ensembl:snoRNA U3 Small nucleolar RNA U3
AAGACUGUACUUUCAGGGAUCAUUUCUAUAGUUCAUUACUAGAAAAGUUUCUCUGUGCAGAGUACCAGAUACCAUGAAGAGGUGGCAUAAAAUUCUCUCCCAAGCAUAAAGCUGGCUCUGGGUGUUGCUUUGCUGCAACUGCCAUUUGCAUUGAUGAUCAUUCCUGUUCUCCUUUAGGGAAGCUGGAAGGAGAGGACACAGUCUGAGUGGG